CAGCAGUGGGGAAUAUUGCACAAUGGGGGAAACCCUGAUGCAGCGACGCCGCGUGGAGGAAGAAGGUCUUCGGAUUGUAAACUCCUGUUGUUGAGGAAGAUAAUGACGGUACUCAACAAGGAAGUGACGGCUAACUACGUGCCAGCAGCCGCGGUAAAACGUAGGUCACAAGCGUUGUCCGGAAUUACUGGGUGUAAAGGGAGCGCAGGCGGGAAGACAAGUUGGAAGUGAAAUCUAUGGGCUCAACCCAUAAACUGCUUUCAAAACUGUUUUUCUUGAGUAGUGCAGAGGUAGGCGGAAUUCCCGGUGUAGCGGUGGAAUGCGUAGAUAUCGGGAGGAACACCAGUGGCGAAGGCGGCCUACUGGGCACCAACUGACGCUGAGGCUCGAAAGUGUGGGUAGCAAACAGGAUUAGAUACCCUGGUAGUCCACACCGUAAACGAUGAUUACUAGGUGUUGGAGGAUUGACCCCUUCAGUGCCGCAGUUAACACAAUAAGUAAUCCACCUGGGGAGUACGACCGCAAGGUUGAAACUCAAAGGAAUUGACGGGGGCCCGCACAAGCAGUGGAGUAUGUGGUUUAAUUCGAAGCAACGCGAAGAACCUUACCAGGUCUUGACAUCCCGAUGACCGCUUAUUAAUCGAAGCUUUUCUUCGGAACAUCGGAGACAGGUGGUGCAUGGUUGUCGUCAGCUCGUGUCGUGAGAUGUUGGGUUAAGUCCCGCAACGAGCGCAACCCUUAUGGUCAGUUACUACGCAAGAGGACUCUGGCCAGACUGCCGUUGACAAAACGGAGGAAGGUGGGGAUGACGUCAAAUCAUCAUGCCCUUUAUGACUUGGGCUACACACGUACUACAAUGGCGUUAAACAAAGAGAAGCAAGACCGCGAGGUGGAGCAAAACUCAGAAACAACGUCCCAGUUCGGACUGCAGGCUGCAACUCGCCUGCACGAAGUCGGAAUUGCUAGUAAUCGUGGAUCAGCAUGCCACGGUGAAUACGUUCCCGGGCCUUGUACACACCGCCCGUCACACCAUGAGAGCCGGGGGGACCCGAAGUCGGUAGUCUAACCGCAAGGAGGACGCCGCCGAAGGUAAAACUGGUGAUUGGGGUGAAGUCGUAACAAGGUAGCCGUAGGAGAACCUGCGGCUG
rnacentral:rRNA from 1 species